AACCGAAUCCCAAUCCCAAUCCCAAUCCUCACAAGCUCCGAAGCACUAAGGCCCAGCUAUUCAGAUUGUUUCAAUUGUACUUCUAAGUUAGCCCGUAGUUAAGCGCAUCCCAGCGGCGGAUUCGAGCAAUAUUCGAUCCGGAACUGUUUCCUAUAUCAUGACCCGUAAUACCAUACCUUCACCUAUACCUACACCUAUACCUAUACCGUUAUCCAGCAGCAGCAAAUCGCAAGCGUCGCACACUCACUCUUCAAAGAUAGCCAUUUAAGCCGGAUGGAAACUGAGAUACAGAUUUAGAGCUAAUCCAGAUGGCGGUCCCAGUGGCCCCAAAACUGAACUUGAAUUCGAUACGUUUUCAUUCUAAUUUUGUGUGUGUGUACGUAUUUGUAAAUAGAGUUUAAGUAUGCAAAUCAUAGAGCUUACGUAUACAAUUAGAUUGCAAUAAAACCGAAUGAACAGUUAAGAAUUUGAAUCAUUACACA
rnacentral:sRNA from 1 species